AGGUGCGGCGAUGCCCAGCCACGCCCUGGACCUUGGCCAGUGAUAGGCACCUGGGCCCUGUUCGUAUCAAGAAAAACAAUCCUGCUGCAGGUAGCAAAUACUUGCCACUCACUUUCACCCACAUCUCUGGCUGGGCAUGAAGCGCUCUCCCAUGGGAUCCUAACGAGGCGAGGGGGACCUGGAGGAGCGAAGCGGGAAUGCUGUGCCUGUGGCAGGGGCCUCGUUGCGAUAUGGUCGCUCUGGGCAGGUCUCUGCCGCUGUUGAUGAACUGUGUGGCUGGGGGAGAGGCUGGCUCCGUAGGCCGUGCUGUGUCACCUGGCGUUUUGCUGCAAGCAGGAAUAAAAGGGUCUUCUUCCCCCUC